AUGUUUGUUCUAGCAGUUUUAGGCAUCAAUUCAUCUGCCGAUCGAUUGGAGAAGCGUGGUUGGGUCAAUUGUGGUCUUUGUCCACUAUGCAAGAGAGAGCAAGAAACGGGGCCACACCUCUUCUUCAAGUGUCGUGUCACACUUAGGCUUUGGAGAUCUAUCAUCGAGAAGUUUGGGCUACCUCACGUCAACAUUACCGAAUGGCAUCUUGAUGACUCCGUCAAGAAGUGGUGGGUCAAGCGAACCGAUGACCGAAACCCGAAUUGGCAUGCCAUGACCUCUCUCAUCAUGCUCACAUCUUGGACCAUUUGGAACGAGCGAAAUGCUAGGGUAUUUCGGCAAAAAUUUGCGCCACCACCUAUUCUCCUCCAAACCAUCAUUGGAGAGGCAAAGUUAUGGAUUACUGCCGGCGCAAAGAAA
rnacentral:rRNA from 1 species